rnacentral:rRNA from 1 species
AAUCAACGCUGGCGGCGUGCCUCAGACAUGCAAGUCGAACGAUUAAAGCCCUCUUCGGAGAGUGCAUAGAGUGGCGCACGGGUGAGUAACACGUAAGUAAUCUACCUUCGAGUGGGGAAUAACGUCCGGAAACGGACGCUAAUACCGCAUAAUGCAGCGGCAUCGUAAGAUGACAGUUGUUAAAGAUUUAUCGCUUGAAGAGGAGCUUGCGGCAGAUUAGCUAGUUGGUAAGGUAAUGGCUUACCAAGGCUACGAUCUGUAACCGGUCUUAGAGGACGGUCGGUCACACUGACACUGAAUAACGGGUCAGACUCCUACGGGAGCAGCAGUCGGAAUUUUGGGCAAUGGGCGAAAGCCUGACCCAGCAACGCCGCGUGAAGGAUGAAGUAUUUCGGUAUGUAAACUUCGAAAGAAUAGGAAGAAUAAAUGACGGUACUAUUUAUAAGGUCCGGCUAACUACGUGCCAGCAGCCGCGGUAAU